rnacentral:rRNA from 1 species
UACGAAGGGGGCUAGCGUUGCUCGGAAUCACUGGGCGUAAAGGGUGCGUAGGUGGGUCUUUAAGUCAGGGGUGAAAUCCUGGAGCUCAACUCCAGAACUGCCUUUGAUACUGAGGAUCUUGAGUCCGGGAGAGGUGAGUGGAACUGCGAGUGUAGAGGUGAAAUUCGUAGAUAUUCGCAAGAACACCAGUGGCGAAGGCGGCUCACUGGCCCGGUACUGACGCUGAGGUGCGAAAGCGUGGGGAGCAAACAGG